UCCUACGGGGCGCAGCAGCCGCGGUAAUACGUAGGGGGCUAGCGUUAUCCGGAAUUACUGGGCGUAAAGGGUGCGUAGGUGGUUUCUUAAGUCAGAGGUGAAAGGCUACGGCUCAACCGUAGUAAGCCUUUGAAACUGGGAAACUUGAGUGCAGGAGAGGAGAGUGGAAUUCCUAGUGUAGCGGUGAAAUGCGUAGAUAUUAGGAGGAACACCAGUUGCGAAGGCGGCUCUCUGGACUGUAACUGACACUGAGGCACGAAAGCGUGGGGAGCAAACAGGAUUAGAUACCCUUGUAGUCCGAGAUC
rnacentral:rRNA from 1 species